UUGAACAUCGACAUCUUGAACGCAUAUGGCGGCCUCGGGUCCAUCCCGAGGCCACGCCCGUCUGAGGGUCG
rnacentral:rRNA from 1 species